UACGUAGGGGCCUAGCGUUGUCCGGAUUUAUUGGGCGUAAAGGGCUCGUAGGUGGCCAAUUAAGUCAGACGUGAAAUCCCCAGGCUCAACCUGGGAACUGCGCUUGAGACUGGCACGCUCGAGUUCGGGAGAGGAUGGUGGAAUUCCCAGUGUAGAGGUGAAAUUCGUAGAUAUUGGGAAGAACACCGGUGGCGAAGGCGGCUCUCUGGACCGAGACUGACGCUGAGGCGCGAAAGCGUGGGGAGCAAACAGG
rnacentral:rRNA from 1 species